rnacentral:rRNA from 1 species
AGCGAACGCUGGCGGCAGGCCUAACACAUGCAAGUCGAACGGAUCCUUCGGGAUUAGUGGCGGACGGGUGAGUAACACGUGGGAACGUGCCCUUUGGCUCGGAACAACUCAGGGAAACUUGAGCUAAUACCGGAUGUGCCCUUCGGGGGAAAGAUUGAUCGCCAUUGAAGCGGCCCGCGUCUGAUUAGCUAGUUGGUGAGGUAAAGGCUCACCAAGGCGACGAUCAGUAGCUGGUCUGAGAGGAUGAUCAGCCACAUUGGGACUGAGACACGGCCCAAACUCCUACGGGAGGCAGCAGUGGGGAAUCUUGCGCAAUGGGCGAAAGCCUGACGCAGCCAUGCCGCGUGAAUGAUGAAGGUCUUAGGAUUGUAAAAUUCUUUCACCGGGGACGAUAAUGACGGUACCCGGAGAAGAAGCCCCGGCUAACUUCGUGCCAGCCGCCGCCGUAAUAC